rnacentral:rRNA from 1 species
AAGAGACAGCAGUAGCCGCGGGAAAACGUAGGGUGCAAGCGUUAAUCGGAAUUACUGGGCGUAAAGCGCGCGUAGGUGGUUUGUUAAGUUGGAUGUGAAAUCCCCGGGCUCAACCUGGGAACUGCAUCCAAAACUGGCAAGCUAGAGUAUGGUAGAGGGUGGUGGAAUUUCCUGUGUAGCGGUGAAAUGCGUAGAUAUAGGAAGGAACACCAGUGGCGAAGGCGACCACCUGGACUGAUACUGACACUGAGGUGCGAAAGCGUGGGGAGCAAACAGGAUUAGAUACCCGGGUAGUCCCUGUCUCUUAUAC